GGAAUUUUCCGCAAUGGGCGAAAGCCUGACGGAGCAACGCCGCGUGAGGGAUGAAGGCCUCUGGGCUGUAAACCUCUUUUAUCAAGGAAGAAGAUCUGACGGUACUUGAUGAAUAAGCCACGGCUAAUUCCGUGCCAGCAGCCGCGGUAAUACGGGAGUGGCAAGCGUUAUCCGGAAUUAUUGGGCGUAAAGCGUCCGCAGGCGGUCUGUCAAGUCUGCUGUUAAAGCGUGGAGCUUAACUCCAUUUCGGCAGUGGAAACUGACAGACUAGAGUGUGGUAGGGGCAGAGGGAAUUCCCGGUGUAGCGGUGAAAUGCGUAGAUAUCGGGAAGAACACCAGUGGCGAAGGCGUUCUGCUGGGCCAUAACUGACGCUCAUGGACGAAAGCCAGGGGAGCGAAAGGGAUUAGAUACCCCAGUAGUC
rnacentral:rRNA from 1 species